ACUCCUACGGGAGGCAGCAGUGGGGAAUAUUGGACAAUGGGCGCAAGCCUGAUCCAGCCAUGCCGCGUGAGUGAUGAAGGCCCUAGGGUUGUAAAGCUCUUUCACCGGUGAAGAUAAUGACGGUAACCGGAGAAGAAGCCCCGGCUAACUUCGUGCCAGCAGCCGCGGUAAUACGAAGGGGGCUAGCGUUGUUCGGAUUUACUGGGCGUAAAGCGCACGUAGGCGGACUAUUAAGUCAGGGGUGAAAUCCCGGGGCUCAACCCCGGAACUGCCUUUGAUACUGGUAGUCUUGAGUUCGAGAGAGGUGAGUGGAAUUCCGAGUGUAGAGGUGAAAUUCGUAGAUAUUCGGAGGAACACCAGUGGCGAAGGCGGCUCACUGGCUCGAUACUGACGCUGAGGUGCGAAAGCGUGGGGAGCAAACAGGAUUAGAAACCCGUGUAGUCCCAUG
rnacentral:rRNA from 1 species